rnacentral:rRNA from 1 species
CACGAACCGUACGAACGUUAUUCGGAAUUACUGGGCUUAAAGGGUUUGUAGGCGGCUUUGUAAGUCAGGUGUGAAAGCCCUCGGCUCAACCGAGGAACAGCGCUUGAUACUGCAAGGCUUGAGGGAGACAGGGGUAAGCGGAACUGAUGGUGGAGCGGUGAAAUGCGUUGAUAUCAUCAGGAACACCGGUGGCGAAAGCGGCUUACUGGGUCUCUCCUGACGCUGAGGAACGAAAGCUAGGGUAGCGAACGGG